CCUACGGGAGGCUGCAGUGGGGAAUAUUGGACAAUGGGGGGAACCCUGAUCCAGCCAUGCCGCGUGUGUGAAGAAGGCCCUCGGGUUGUAAAGCACUUUCAGUGAGGAAGAACGCCUGGUGGUUAAUACCCAUCAGGAAAGACAUCACUCACAGAAGAAGCACCGGCUAACUCCAUGCCAGCAGCCGCGGUAAUACGGAGGGUGCGAGCGUUAAUCGGAAUUACUGGGCGUAAAGCGCGCGUAGGUGGCUUGAUAAGCCGGUUGUGAAAGCCCCGGGCUCAACCUGGGAACGGCAUCCGGAACUGUCAAGCUAGAGUGCAGGAGAGGAAGGUAGAAUUCCCGGUGUAGCGGUGAAAUGCGUAGAGAUCGGGAGGAAUACCAGUGGCGAAGGCGGCCUUCUGGACUGACACUGACACUGAGGUGCGAAAGCGUGGGUAGCAAACAGGAUUAGAUACCCUAGUAGUC
rnacentral:rRNA from 1 species